rnacentral:rRNA from 1 species
CAGCCGCCGCGGUAAUACCAGCCCCGCGAGUGGUCGGGACGGUUAUUGGGCCUAAAGCGCCCGUAGCCGGCCCGGCAAGUCCCUCCUUAAAGCCUCGGGCCCAACCCGAGGACGGGGGGGAUACUGCCGGGCUAGGGGGCGGGAGAGGCCGGCGGUACUCCCGGGGGAGGGGCGAAAUCCUAUAAUCCCAGGAGGACCACCAGUGGCGAAGGCGCCCGGCUGGCACGCGCCCGACGGUGAGGGACGAAAGCUGGGGGGGCAAAGGGGAUUAGAUGCCCCCGUAGUCCCAGCGGUAAACGAUGCGGGCUGGAUGUUGGGCGGGCGUCGAGCCCGCCCAGUGACGUAGGGAAGCCGUUAAGCCCGCCGCCUGGGGAGUACGGCCGCAAGGCUGAAACUUAAAGGAAUUGGCGGG